AAAAUUUUAAAAGUCGAACAGACUUAACCACUUAGCCCCUACACCAAGUAUUAAUUUUAAUCCAACAUCGAGGUCGCAAUCUAGUUUAUCGAUAAGAACUCUCCAAACUAAUAACG
rnacentral:rRNA from 1 species